UAGGGAAUCUUCGGCAAUGGGGGCAACCCUGACCGAGCAACGCCGCGGGAGUGAAGAAGGUUUUCGGAUCGUAAAGCUCUGUUGUAAGAGAAGAACGUGUGAGAGAGUGGAAAGUACACACAGUGACGGUAACUUACCAGAAAGGGACGGCUAACUACGUGCCAGCAGCCGCGGUAAAACGUAGGUCCCGAGCGUUGUCCGGAUUUAGUGGGCGUAAAGCGAGCGCAGGCGGUUUAAUAAGUCUGAAGUUAAAGGCAGUGGCUUAACCAUUGUUCGCUUUGGAAACUAUUAAACUUGAGUGCAGAAGGGGAGAGUGGAAUUCCAUGUGUAGCGGUGAAAUGCGUAGAUAUAUGGAGGAACACCGGUGGCGAAAGCGGCUCUCUGGUCUGUAACUGACGCUGAGGCUCGAAAGCGUGGGGAGCAAACAGG
rnacentral:rRNA from 1 species